CCUGCCACCUCCCCACCCCUCUGGCCUCCUUAGGGAAGGAAGUCUUUCCUCAAAGGCAUUUCCACCACCCUCCCUGUCUCCCAGCUGGGUUCUGCCACCACACACACCACACACAAACAGCACACAUCACAAAACACAUGACACGCACACCACACACACCACCACACGAUAUAUACACACCACACACCACAAAACACCACACACGCACAACACACACCAUACACAGCACACACCAAUAAACACAUGACACGCACACCACACACCACUCAUAUAUACACACCACACAAACACCACACACAAAACUCCAUACAUACCACACACACACCACACACAAUACCACACAUGACAUAUACACACCACACACCACAAAACUCCAUACACACCACACACAAUACCACACAUGACAUAUACACACCACAAACACCACACACCACAAAACACACACACAACACACACAAUACCAUACACGAUAUAUAUAUAACCACACAUAAACACCACACGCCACAAAACAUCACACACACAACACACCACACACACAACACACACCAUACAAAACAGCACACCUCACACACCACACACAAUACCACACGAUAUACACACACCACACACAAACACCACACAACACACACCACACACUAUAUACACACCACACACAAACACCACACACCACAAAACACCACGCAAACAACACACAUAACACGAUACACACACCACAUACAACCACACAUCACAUACUCUAUACAUAACACCACACGAUUCAUAAACACACACCAUACACACACGAUAUGCACACACUACACACUAUACACAAAUACCAUACAUACAACCACACAUCUUACACAAACACUACACACCACAGACCACACAAUACACAUAGCACACACACACACAAUACACAUCACAUACACAUCAUACCACACACACACACACACACACCACACGCACACACACACCCCAUCUGCUGGGACCUCCCAGAGGGUGGCCAUUGGCCUGUGGGGUUACCAGGAGGCUGUGGAUGGGACCGGGCCAGCCGUGGG
rnacentral:lncRNA from 1 species